CCUACGGGAGGCUGCAGUGAGGAAUAUUGGUCAAUGGCCGGAAGGCUGAACCAGCCAUGCCGCGUGAAGGUCAGUGCCCUAUGGGCGUUAAACUUCUGUUGUGCGGGAGCAAUAAUGGUCACGUGUGGCCAGACGAGCGUCCCGUACGAAUAAGCAUCGGCUCACUCCGUGCCAGCAGCCGCGGUAAUACGGGGGAUGCAAGCGUUAUACGGAUUUAUUGGGUUUACAGGGUGCGUAGGCUGUGAGGUAAGUCAGCGGUGAAAUGCCCCAGCUCAAAGGGGUGAAGUGCCAUUGAUACUGCGUGGCUGGAAUGCGAAUGCCGUUGGAGGAAUGUGUGGGGUAGCGGUGAAAUGCAUAGAUAUCACACAGAACACCGAUUGCGAAGGCAUCUCACGACUCCGCGAUUGACGCUGAUGCACGAACGCGUGGGUAUCAAACAGGAUUAGAUACCCUUGUAGUC
rnacentral:rRNA from 1 species